UACGUAGGGGCCGAGCGUUGUCCGGAGUUAUUGGGCGUAAAGCGCGCGCAGGCGGCUUGGCGCGCCCGACGUGAAAGCCCCCGGCUUAACCGGGGAGGGUCGUCGGGUACGGCCAGGCUUGAGGGCGGGAGAGGGUGGUGGAAUUCCCGGUGUAGUGGUGAAAUGCGUAGAUAUCAGGAGGAAUACCGAUGGCGAAGGCAGGUCUCUGGGCUGACACUGACGCUCAUGCACGAAAGCGUGGGGAGCAAACAGG
rnacentral:rRNA from 1 species